rnacentral:tRNA from 1 species
AAAGAUUUAGUUUAAAUUUUAAAACAUUAACUUGUCAAGUUAAAAAUACAUUAAAUGUAAUCUUUA